GAUUGACAAAAUGAAAAAGCCACCUACAGAAUGGGCAAAAAUAUUUGCAAACCACAUACCAAUAGAGGUUAACAUCUAAAACAGUUGAAGAUCUUGUUCUGUGAUCAUCUUCCUGACCACUUAAGAAAGAGCAUGAGUACUUAUAAGUACUGCAAACACACUGGUCAUUGAACAUAUCAAUGAGUAAAAGGCAACUAGCAGCAAGAGACAAGAGACGAAAAAUUAUUUUUUCUCCAUAACCAAGUCUAUUCCCUUUUGAUUCAUCAGAAGACAAAAACGAAUCUCAAAAAUCUUAAUAAAUUUGAUAGCUCUGUUGCACAUGUACAAAAAUUUAUCCUGCAGAAAAAGAAAAAACCCACACAUCAAUUAUUUGGUUAACUGACGAGAAACUAAAGGCCAAGUUUGGAAAUUGUUCAAGUUUCCUAUGAAUAUUCAUAAAUAAUUAACGUGCAUCUCAAUUUAGAACCUAACAGCAGUUCAUUUAAAUUUUUUGUUUUGUUUUUAAUAUCGGAGUUAAUUAUAUGCUGAGGUCUAGUUGCUGGGUCUUCUCUGCUAGUGGCGAUUGAAAAACUGCAGUUGGUGAAAAUUACCCCGUGCUUCUGUAUUUUUCACCGUGUUGUGUAGCUGAAGGAAGAUGCACACUCCCGGCCCCUGAAGGACACCUGGCUUCCUAAGGGGAAACUCUUUCCCCGCCUCUACUCCGAAUCUUCUCACUGAGAACUUUAUACCUUUGAGGGUAAAUUCCUUUCAGUCAUUUUUUAAUUAGAGGUGCAAAAAAGAGUGCAAGAGAAAGAGGCAGGGAAAAAGUAAAUGGUGAAAAGCUACAUUGCUACAUCCUCCAGAGGUUUUCAGCCCCUAGGGUGGCCACGUGCUUAGCCCUGUGAGGGAUACAGAGAUUGCAAGCCCCUAAGGGUACAAAAACACCCGGAAGAACUCGCUCUAACCGGGUAGAAAAGCCGCCGGUACUUUGUGAAACACGGCUGCACAGAAGAAUAAUCAGAGCCCUGGGCUCUUAGCAGGAGGGAGGCCAUUCGGGGGCUGCCCCUUUUGUCUCUGCGCCUCGUACGGGCUGGAGGAUGGAAUAAUUGUGGACAAAGGGUCCGAGGAGGGCGGAGGGUAGGGUAUGAACUCUUCAGGAAGCUGCUUUCAGCUGUAUUUACCGUCCCAUCUUUGAGCCAAUCGCCCUGUCCAGUCGGUCGCGAGCCGCGGCCGGGGCGCUGACGGCGGGGUAACACUGCCAUCUAGUGGCCGCGCCGACCCCGCGAGCCCGCACUCCCUGCCCUCUGGCUGCCUCUGUC